rnacentral:rRNA from 1 species
AGACGUCUACAUUAGACUACCCGGUAGUCCCAGCCGUAAACUAUGCGCGUUAGGUGUAUCGGUGACCACGAGUUACCGAGGUGCCGAAGGGAAACCGUGAAACGUGCCGCCUGGGAAGUACGGUCGCAAGGCUGAAACUUAAAGGAAUUGGCGGGGAGCACCACAACAGGUGGAGCCUGCGGUUUAAUUGGACUCAACGCCGGGAAGCUCACCGGAUAGGACAGCAGAAUGAUUGCCGGGCUGAAGACCCUGCAUGACUAGCUG